AUGGCGCUCGCGCUAUCCACGCUCCCCUUCGCCCCCUCCACCCCGGCGCCCGCCUCGUUCCGCCCCCGCGGGGCCCACUUCGCCCCCUCCCCCGCCGGCAGGAGCGUCGGAGUCGGCCUCCCCCUCGCGUGCGCGGCGCCGCGGAAGAACCGCGGGCGGAGGCGGCGCGGCGGGGGCCUGGUGGUGUUCGCGGCGGCCGACUACUACGCGACGCUCGGCGUGCAGCGCUCCGCGACCAUCAAGGACAUCAAGGCCGCCUACCGGAAGCUCGCGCGCCAGUAUCAUCCUGAUGUCAAUAAGGAACCUGGAGCAACCGACAAGUUCAAAGAGAUAAGCUCAGCCUAUGAGGUUCUGUCAGAUGAUAAGAAGAGGGCAUUGUAUGACCAAUAUGGUGAAGCCGGGGUUAAGAGCGCGGUUGGGGGCAACGCUGGAGCUUAUACAUCGAAUCCAUUUGAUCUGUUUGAGACAUUCUUCGGAGCAAGCAUGGGUGGUGGUGGUGGCUUUUCUGGUAUGGACCAGAGCGCAUUUAGGACACGCAGAAGGAGCACUGCUGCUCAGGGUGAAGACAUCAGAUAUGAUGUGAUUCUAGGGUUCUCAGAGGCAAUAUUUGGAACAGAAAAAGAUAUCAUAUUAUCCCAUUUGGAGACUUGUGAUGCUUGUAGCGGUUCUGGUUCAAAGGUUGGCUCAAAGGCAAAAAUAUGCUCCACAUGUGGUGGGCGAGGGCAAGUAAUGCGAACCGAGCAGACACCAUUUGGUCUCUUUUCCCAGGUUUCUAUUUGCCCCACUUGUGUAGGAGAGGGUGAGGUCAUUUCAGAGUAUUGCAGGAAAUGCUCUGGAGAGGGGCGUGUUCGUGUCAGAAAAGAGAUCAAAGUAAAAAUCCCUCCAGGAGUUAGUAAAGGUAGCACUCUUCGUGUACGUGGUGAAGGUGAUGCAGGACCGAAAGGAGGGCCUCCUGGAGAUCUUUUUGUCUGCCUUGAUGUAGAGGAGCCAUCCGAUAUUAAAAGGGAUGGUAUCAACUUGUAUUCAACUGUGUCGAUAAGCUACAUUGAAGCUAUUUUGGGUACAGUUCAAAAGGUCAGAACUGUUGAGGGAAGUAGUGAACUUCGAAUACCUCCAGGCACCCAACCUGGUGAUGUAUUGGUCCUAGCGAAGCAAGGUGUUCCAUCGUUGAAUAGGCCAUCUAUACGCGGUGAUCAUCUAUUCACUGUUAAGGUCUCUAUACCCAAACGUAUAAGUGGGCGCGAAAAGGAGUUACUUGAGGAACUUGCAUCGUUGAAAAAUGGUGGUUUUGCCCGUGCACCGGUGAAGCCAAAACCUGUACAUAAAGAGAAUGGAAGCCGUGCUGCUCCAGAAGUACCAGAUCAACCUGAUGAUGGGGAGGGUGACUGGUUGAAGAAACUUUCUGAUUUUGCUGGAUCCAUUGUCAACGGGGCAUCCAAGUGGCUGAAGGACAACCUGUAG
rnacentral:rRNA from 1 species